CGUAGGGGGCAAGCGUUGUCCGGAAUUAUUGGGCGUAAAGAGCUCGUAGGCGGUUCGGUAAGUCGGGUGUGAAACCCUCAGGCUCAACCUGGGGACGCCACCCGAUACUGCUGUGACUAGAGUCCAGUAGGGGGAGUGUGGAAUUCCCGGUGUAGCGGUGAAAUGCGCAGAUAUCGGGAGGAACACCAGCGGCGAAGGCGGCACUCUGGGCUGGAACUGACGCUGAGGAGCGAAAGCGUGGGUAGCAAACAGGAUUAGAUACCCUGGUAGUCCACGCCGUAAACGUUGGGCACUAGGUGUGGGGACCCUCCAACGGUUUCCGUGCCGUAGCUAACCGCAUUAAGUGCCCCGCUCGGGGAGUACGGCGCAAGGCUA
rnacentral:rRNA from 1 species